rnacentral:rRNA from 1 species
GAUGAACGCUGGCGGCGUGCUUAACACAUGCAAGUCGAACGGAAAGGCCCAAGCUUGCUUGGGUACUCGAGUGGCGAACGGGUGAGUAACACGUGGGUGAUCUGCCCUGCACUUCGGGAUAAGCCUGGGAAACUGGGUCUAAUACCGGAUAGGACCACAUUUUGGAUGGUGUGGUGGAAAGUUUUUCGGUGUGGGAUGAGCUCGCGGCCUAUCAGCUUGUUGGUGGGGUAAUGGCCUACCAAGGCGUCGACGGGUAGCCGGCCUGAGAGGGUGUACGGCCACAUUGGGACGGAGAUACGGCCCAGACUCCUACGGGAGGCAGCAGUGGGGAAUAUUGCACAAUGGGCGCAAGCCUGAUGCAGCGACGCCGCGUGGGGGAUGACGGCCUUCGGGUUGUAAACUCCUUUCGCUAGGGACGAAGCGUUAUGUGACGGUACCUGGAGAAGAAGCACCGGCUAACUACGUG